rnacentral:rRNA from 1 species
UACAGAGGGUGCGAGCGUUAAUCGGAAUUACUGGGCGUAAAGCGCGCGUAGGCGGCUUUGCAAGUCGGGUGUGAAAUCCCCAGGCUUAACCUGGGAACUGCAUUCGAGACUGCAUUGCUAGAGUAUGGGAGAGGGAAGUGGAAUUUCCGGUGUAGCGGUGAAAUGCGUAGAUAUCGGAAGGAACAUCAGUGGCGAAGGCAGCUCGCUGGGACGGUACUGACGCUGAGACGCGAAAGCGUGGGGAGCAAACAGG